GCAGACUCACCUGUUCUUGGCGCGCGCGGCCGCUCCACCUCUGCCUCUUCUUCUCCGGCGCAGACUCACCUGUUCUUGCCGCGAGCAGCCACUCCGCGCCCUUAUUCUCCAUCGAUUUGCCUCCCCUGCUUCAAUUUGUGCCUCCCUCCCUCUUCUCUGCUGAUUUGUGCCUUGGAUUCACGGCUCCUUGCGUUGCUCCACUUCCUCUCCCUCCAGCUUCACUUCCAGGUACAUGUGAGCAUCUCUUCCUCUCCCUCCAGCUUCACUUCACUUAGUUUACUUUAUUCAUCUGUGUUGUCAAAUGUUAGUGAUGUGAUCUGUGCCUAUAUGAUUUGUUUGUUACUAAUGCAUGCUUGAUGUAGUGAUGUGAUCUGUGCCUAAUGCGUGAUAUGAAUUAGUUUGAUUUGUUUGUCACUUCACUUAGUUGAUUUUUUAUUACUAAUGCCUGAUAUGAUUUAUGAUCUGUGCUUCACUUUACUACUCUGCUUUUGCUUGAUGUGAUCUGUGCCUUUAUGAAUAAUGCUAUGCUACUGCUACAAUCUUUGAAUAAUGCUAUGCUCUCCCCUUCCAUCUUUUAAUUAUACUCUUAACUCUUCUUUGCAUGUAACAGCUAGCAGCAAACAAUGGCAAGUCC
rnacentral:lncRNA from 1 species